ACGAACGCUGGCGGCGUGCUUAACACAUGCAAGUCGCACGGAAAGGCCCUGCUUUUGUGGGGUGCUCGAGUGGCGAACGGGUGAGUAACACGUGAGUAACCUGCCCUUGACUUUGGGAUAACUUCAGGAAACUGGGGCUAAUACCGGAUAGGAGCUCCUGCUGCAUGGUGGGGGUUGGAAAGUUUCGGCGGUUGGGGAUGGACUCGCGGCUUAUCAGUUUGUUGGUGGGGUAGUGGCUUACCAAGGCUUUGACGGGUAGCCGGCCUGAGAGGGUGACCGGCCACAUUGGGACUGAGAUACGGCCCAGACUCCUACGGGAGGCAGCAGUGGGGAAUAUUGCACAAUGGGCGGAAGCCUGAUGCAGCAACGCCGCGUGCGGGAUGACGGCCUUCGGGUUGUAAACCGCUUUCGCCUGUGACGAAGCGUGAGUGACGGUAAUGGGUAAAGAAGCACCGGCUAACUACGUG
rnacentral:rRNA from 1 species